rnacentral:tRNA from 1 species
AUUAUUUAAUUUAUAUUAAAAUAUAAGUUUUGGAGACUUAAAAAAUAUAUUUUUAUAUAAUAAUUAA